GACGAACGCUGGCGGCGUGCCUAAUACAUGCAAGUUGAGCGCUGAAGGUUGGUACUUGUACCGACUGGAUGAGCAGCGAACGGGUGAGUAACGCGUGGGGAAUCUGCCUUUGAGCGGGGGACAACAUUUGGAAACGAAUGCUAAUACCGCAUAAAAACUUUAAACACAAGUUUUAAGUUUGAAAGAUGCAAUUGCAUCACUCAAAGAUGAUCCCGCGUUGUAUUAGCUAGUUGGUGAGGUAAAGGCUCACCAAGGCGAUGAUACAUAGCUGACCUGAGAGGGGGAUCGGCCACAUUGGGACUGGGACACGGCCCAAACUCCUACGGGAGGCAGCAGUAGGGAAUCUUCGGCAAUGGACGAAAGUCUGACCGAGCAACGCCGCGUGAGUGAAGAAGGUUUUCGGAUCGUAAAACUCUGUUGGUAGAGAAGAACGUUGGUGAGAGUGGAAAGCUCAUCAAGUGACGGUAACUACCCAGAAAGGGACGGCUAACUACGUG
rnacentral:rRNA from 1 species